rnacentral:rRNA from 1 species
AUUGAACGCUGGCGGCAUGCCUUACACAUGCAAGUCGAACGGCAGCACGGGUGCUUGCACCUGGUGGCGAGUGGCGAACGGGUGAGUAAUACAUCGGAACAUGUCCUGUAGUGGGGGAUAGCCCGGCGAAAGCCGGAUUAAUACCGCAUACGAUCUACGGAUGAAAGCGGGGGACCUUCGGGCCUCGCGCUAUAGGGUUGGCCGAUGGCUGAUUAGCUAGUUGGUGGGGUAAAGGCCUACCAAGGCGACGAUCAGUAGCUGGUCUGAGAGGACGACCAGCCACACUGGGACUGAGACACGGCCCAGACUCCUACGGGAGGCAGCAGUGGGGAAUUUUGGACAAUGGGCGAAAGCCUGAUCCAGCAAUGCCGCGUGUGAAGAAGGCCUUCGGGUUGUAAAGCACUUUUGUCCGGAAAGAAGUCCUUGGCCCUAAUACGGUCGGGGGAUGACGGUACCGGAAGAAUAAGCACCGGCUAACUACGUG